GGCCCCGUGGCGAAAUUGGUAGACGCACGCGACUUAAAAUCGCGAGUCCGAAAGGACGUGCCGGUUCAAGUCCGGCCGGGGCCACCA
rnacentral:tRNA from 2 species